GAUGAACGCUGGCGGCGUGCCUAAUACAUGCAAGUCGAGCGAACGGACGAGAAGCUUGCUUCUCUGAUGUUAGCGGCGGACGGGUGAGUAACACGUGGAUAACCUACCUAUAAGACUGGGAUAACUUCGGGAAACCGGAGCUAAUACCGGAUGAUAUUUUGAACCGCAUGGUUCAAAAGUGAAAGACGGUCUUGCUGUCACUUAUAGAUGGAUCCGCGCUGCAUUAGCUAGUUGGUAAGGUAACGGCUUACCAAGGCAACGAUGCAUAGCCGACCUGAGAGGGUGAUCGGCCACACUGGAACUGAGACACAGUCCAGACUCCUACGGGAGGCAGCAGUAGGGAAUCUUCCGCAAUGGGCGAAAGCCUGACGGAGCAACGCCGCGUGAGUGAUGAAGGUCUUCGGAUCGUAAAACUCUGUUAUUAGGGAAGAACAUAUGUGUAAGUAACUGUGCACAUCUUGACGGUACCUAAUCAGAAAGCCACGGCUAACUACGUG
rnacentral:rRNA from 1 species